CCAGACUCCUACGGGAGGCAGCAGUGGGGGAUAUUGCACAAUGGGGGAAACCCUGAUGCAGCGACGCCGCGUGAGUGAAGAAGUAUUUCGGUAUGUAAAGCUCUAUCAGCAGGGAAGAAAAUGACAGUACCUGACCAAGAAGCCCCGGCUAACUACGUGCCAGCAGCCGCGGUAAUACGUAGGGGGCAAGCGUUAUCCGGAUUUACUGGGUGUAAAGGGAGCGUAGACGGUUAUGUAAGUCUGGAGUGAAAGCCCGGGGCCCAACCCCGGGACUGCUUUGGAAACUGUUGAACUAGAUUGCAGGAGAGGUAAGUGGAAUUCCUAGUGUAGCGGUGAAAUGCGUAGAUAUUAGGAGGAACACCAGUGGCGAAGGCGGCUUACUGGACUGUAAAUGACGCUGAGGCUCGAAAGCGUGGGGAGCAAACAGGAUUAGAUACCCCGGUA
rnacentral:rRNA from 1 species